rnacentral:rRNA from 1 species
CAGCAGCCGCGGGAAUACAGAGGAUGCAAGCGUUAUCCGGAAUGAUUGGGCGUAAAGCGUCUGUAGGUGGCUUUUCAAGUCCGCCGUCAAAUCCCAGGGCUCAACCCUGGACAGGCGGUGGAAACUACCAAGCUAGAGUACGGUAGGGGCAGAGGGAAUUUCCAGUGGAGCGGUGAAAUGCGUUGAGAUCGAAAAGAACACCAACAGCGAAAGCACUCUGCUGGGACGACACUGACACUAAGAGACGAAAGCUAGGGGAGCAAAUGGGAUUAGAUACCCCUGUAGUCCCUGUCUCUUAUAC